rnacentral:rRNA from 1 species
AUUGCGCGGCGAUAAACCUUACACACAUUGUCUAGUUUUUUUGAACUUUGCUUUGGGUGCAUCAGCCUAGCUGCGUGCCCAAAGGUCUAAACACAUUUUUUAAUGUUAAAACCUUUAACCAAUAGUCAUGAAAAUUUUUAACAAAAAUUAAAAUCUUCAAAACUUUCAACAACGGAUCUCUUGGUUCUCGCAACGAUGAAGAACGCAGCGAAAUGCGAUACGUAUUGUGAAUUGCAGAUUUUCGUGAAUCAUCGAAUCUUUGAACGCACAUUGCACCCUCUGGUAUUCCAGAGGGUAUGCCUGUUUGAGCGUCAUUUCUCUCUCAAACCUUCGGGUUUGGUAUUGAGUGAUACUCUGUCAAGGGUUAACUUGAAAUAUUGACUUAGCAAGAGUGUACUAAUAAGCAGUCUUUCUGAAAUAAUGUAUUAGGUUCUUCCAACUCGUUAUAUCAGCUAGGCAGGUUUAGAAGUAUUUUAGGCUCGGCUUAACAACAAUAAACUAAAAGUUUGACCUCAAAUCAGGUAGGACUACCCGCUGAACUUAAGCAUAUCAAUAAG